rnacentral:rRNA from 1 species
AUGUUAGAAUCAUGUGAUUACCCAAUCGUGGCAGGCGACGAGGAAAUGGUCGGCGCCUCUGGUGCGGUUCCAGAAGGGGUACUUGGCGGCGAGGCCCUUGACGAAAUCUCUGAGGUAGACGGCCAGGGGGCGCAGGUUAUGCGAGUCCGGCACGUAGAGCGAGAGCCUGAGAUUCUGCGAGCUGUAGGGCAGGUAGAAGAGGUGCGCCUUGGUGGCGUCGGCGACGACGAACGGCCUGCUCUCCUCGAGGAGCUUCAUGAACCAGCCCUCGGACGCGUAGAUGCCGCUGAGGGGAGGGGUGUGGAAGAUGGGCCGCCGACCGUCCUGGUAAAUGUAAACUUUGAGUAUCCGUUCCAUCAGUUGGUAGCUCCUGGAUGA